AUUGAACGCUGGCGGCAGGCCUAACACAUGCAAGUCGAACGAGUGGCGGACGGGUGCGUAAUGUCUGGGAAACUGCCCGAUGGAGGGGGCUAACUACUGGCAACGGUAGCUAAUAACGCAUACCAUCGGCUGGGCCCAGAUGGGAUGAGCGAGUAGGUGGGGUAACGGCUCACCUAGGCGACGAUCCCUAUCUGGUCUGAGAGGCUGACCCGCCACACUGAAACUGAGCCACGGUCCAGACUCCUACGGGAGGCAGCAGUGGGGAAUAUUGCAAAAUGGUCGCAAGCCUGAUGCAGCCAUGCCGGGUGUAUGAAGAAGGCCUUCGGGUUGUAAAGUACUUUCAGCGAGGAGGCGUUACUCGCAGAAGAAGCAACGGCUAACUCCGUGCCAGCAGCCGCGGUAAUUC
rnacentral:rRNA from 1 species